GGGGAUGGGAGGAAAGACGAGAGUAGAGUGCUUGGGGGAGGGGCCACGAGCCAGAAAGUGCAAGCAACUCUAGAAGAUGGAGAAAGCAAAGAAACGAAUUCUCCCCUCUGGUCUGCAGAAGGAAGGUAGUCUGGCUGACACCUUGAUGUUUAGGACUUCUGACCUGCAGAACGAGUCCAUAUCCAGCCAUUCACUAAACCCGACUUCAAAGAUGUGACUGAAACAAUGCUGUGAUGGAAGUUGGGGACUUAGGUUUGAAUCUGGACUCUAAUAACUGGGAACCUCUGCUAUAGACCGAUGAACCUGUGGAUUCCUGGCCUAUUUCUUCCAGGCUCUGUCCUUCCCCAUUGACCACCCAUGCCUUCUGUUAGACUAGCACAUUGCUGGUCAAGGGCACAGAACAGCAUUACUCAAGUGUGGGCGAUUUCCAGGACAGCCGCUCUAUGAUUUCAGCUACCAUAUAAAUUGAGAGAAGACUGCAUAUUGUUUUAUUUGGAAUGUUGCCAAGAAUUAACGGUAGUACUACCUAUGAUGUUUGAACCCCAGUUUCUGUUGCCUGUCUCUUUAUGCACUGAUCAUUUUUACAGUCAUGAAGACUCUGCAUUGAGGGAAGUGUCUGUAUCACCAUGUCUCUUCUUUAGUCAUACCUGAGCACUUAUGUUUGUGUUAUUUUAACAUGUUACUUUGCUUUUAUUACUUCAUUUUAUAAUCAAAACAAUGCAUUGAUUUCUCUGAAUUUAUUUAUGGAAAUAUAUACUCACUGUCAAUUUCAUUGCAGAAUAAUAAAGAAGAUUUUAAAAAUA